GACGAACGCUGGCGGCGCGCCUAACACAUGCAAGUCGAACGGAGAUGAAAAAAGCUUGCUUUGAUCAUCUUAGUGGCGGACGGGUGAGUAACACGUGAGCAACCUGCCUUUCAGAGGGGGGAUAACGUUUGGAAACGAACGCUAAUACCGCAUAACGUAUACGGAUGGCAUCGUCUGUAUACCAAAGGAGCAAUCCGCUGAAAGAUGGGCUCGCGUCCGAUUAGCUAGAUGGUGAGGUAACGGCCCACCAUGGCGACGAUCGGUAGCCGGACUGAGAGGUUGACCGGCCACAUUGGGACUGAGACACGGCCCAGACUCCUACGGGAGGCAGCAGUGAGGGAUAUUGGGCAAUGGGGGAAACCCUGACCCAGCGACGCCGCGUGAGGGAAGACGGGUCUUCGGAUUGAAACCUCUGUCUUUGGGGACGAAAAAGGACGGUACCCAAGGAGGAAGCUCCGGCUAACUACCGUG
rnacentral:rRNA from 1 species